CAUUUUGAACAAACAGAAGCCUGGAGUAACCCGAUUUGAAUUUUAAACUGUAUCACAGCCUCACUUGACACAGAUUUCUGAUUGGCUGAUCACGGUGGGAGGGAAAACUCUGUGGUUGACGUCACCAACGGGCCGGAAUCUGCAAGCGGGAGAAGUGCAGAGAACGAGAGACUUUUGACGACCGUUUGUCGUAUUUUUUCUGCGUUUUAACAAUCCGUGUGAUGAAUCUCCAACAUUUUUUUUGCUUGUCUGGAAAAGAUUCAAGUAAAAUCUUUGAAGUUUGCACGGUGAUCUAAAUACAAGUGAAAAUGAGUGAAUCAGAACCCAUGUUCCUCCACACUGCCAUUAUGGAGGUCCUACCAGAGCCACAAAAGACAUCCUGGAAGAACACUUGCAGUCCAUUGGAAUAAAUGGAGUUGUAUGAGGAUCUACGAUUCAUAGAAGAGGCUGACUUGCUGCCAGCUUUGAGACCUGUUCAAGCCCGGAAACGUCUUGCUCUUUGGAAAUUGAAAUACCAAACGCCAGAGAACAGCACAUCAUCAUCUGUUGAGACCUCACCAACACAAUCAUCAUCACUUUUGUUAUAGUCACCGAGGAGUUCGUCAUCCACAUCUUCCAGAAGACGAGGACUGUACGUACAUUGACUGGGAGGACAGCUUUGAAAUUCCAUGGAGUAAGUUUUCUGAGGAAUUUGUGCAGUCUUUGGAAAGAGACCUGGCCCAAGACUAAGGAAGGAAAUGGUUUGCACUCUUGUUGCAGAAAUGAUGAAAGCAAGACGUUUUUCCAAACUCUAAAAGGCUGCAGAUGAUGCGGGGAGAGCAGAGUGGCUGCUCAGAAGAGAUGAGAUGUUAAAGAGAUGCUCUUUCUUCUGCUCUGCUACUUUGAGGAGGAUGCCAUGUUCUUGUAGAAGAUGCAGACGAGGUCCAGCUGCAGCAGGUGCCGUUGACUCCAACUGUUAUUGUAUGUGGACAGUCUUUCUUUUCCCCAAGGAGGUUCAUGCUCAUUUGGAACCGCUCCAUCGUACACAACAACAUUGCAGCACUGUGCCUGAUGUUCAGAAGCUACUUCUCCUUUAACCGUCAUUAUCCAACUGAGCUGGCUUCAACCCUGGAGUUUCUGCAAAGGUACAUAUUUAUGAGUGCUGUCAUGCGAUUCAUUUUUGGGUGUGGUUAGUUAAUCAUGACCUGCAGUUAAUUAUUCUUAUUAAUCUUGUAUUAAUCUAACUCAGGGCUGCUCAUCCCUGGUCCUUGAGAUCUACCAGCCUGCCUGAUUUCCAGCUGAUUAGCUGGACCAGCUGAUGCCUAAGAUGUGCCACUCUACCUGGUUGGGAACAAAUUGAAGAGGCCAAGCUCAAGAAAGGCUUUGUCAACAAAUGUAGGGCAGAGCAGGUUCUAAGGCCACUGCUAUGAUCUACAGUAUGCGGACUGGUUUCUCUUCCAUCUUUUUUCUUAUUUUUUAUCUUAAUUUGGUUCUCAAAUUGGUCCAUGGAUUUGGUAGGCUGCAAGUUUCGGAGAAUGUUUUUAUCAGGUACUUUUUUAUGUGGUUACAUAAUCUUGUUUUUUUCCUUGUACCUCAGCAGUGAUGUCAGUGUGUUUGUUGUUUAAAAUAUGGAAGUUUUCUUUACCAUCAUGUCAGCCACAUUUAGUACGCCACGGUUCAUGUACUUAAUGCAUUUAAUAUUUUAAAAAGUGUCUAAUACUGCUUCCACAAUUCAAAUGCUGUACUGAUGAUGGUGCUGCCCAAAUAAAGUGUAAAGCAUUUACA